rnacentral:tRNA from 1 species
GCAGUGAUGGUUCAGUGGUAGAAUUCUUAUCUUCUCACCUUCCAUGCAGGAGACCCGGGUUCAAUUCCCAGCCAGUGCA